rnacentral:rRNA from 1 species
CCCGGGAAACUUUUCCGGAAUUAUUGGGGCGUAAGCGAGCGCAGGCGGUUUAUUAAGUCUGAAGUGAAAUGCAGUGGCUUAACCAUUGUUCUCCUUCGAAACUGGUAGACUUGAAUGCCCAAGGGGAGAGUGGAAUUCCCUGUGUAACGGUGAAAUGCCUAAAAAUUUGGAAGAACACCCGUGGCCAAAGCCGCUCUCUGGUCUGUAAAUGACCCCUAAGGUCCAAAACGUGGGGAACAAACAGGAAUAAAUACCCUGGUAGUCCACGCCGUAAACGAUGAGUGCUAUGUGUUAGGCCCUUUCCGGGGCUUACUGCCGCAGCUAACGCAUUAAGCCCUCCGCCUGGGGAGUACGACCGCAAGGUUGAAACUCAAAGGAAUUGACGGGGGCCCGCACAAGCGGUGGAGCAUGUGGUUUAAUUCGAAGCAACGCGAAGAACCUUACCAGGUCUUGACAUCCCGAUACUAUUCCUAAAGAUAGAAAGUCCCUUCGGAACAUCCGAGACAGGUGGUGCAUGGUUGUCGUCAGCUCGUGUCGUGAGAUGUUGGGUUAAGUCCCGCAACGAGCGCAACCCCUAUAUUUAGUUGCCAUCAGUUAGUUGGGCACUCUAACGAAACUGCCCGUAAUAAACCGGAAGAAGGGGGGGAAGGACUUAAAUCAACGAGUCCCUUAUGGCCGG